GACGAAGGGCGCGGGCGUUAUUCGUUUUGAUUGGGUGUAAAGGGUACGUAGACGGUUUUCGGUUUUUUGACUAAAAGGGCAGAGAGUUCCUAUGCAUGAGGUCUUUGAUAAUGAAAUCUUGAGUUAAAAAGGGGUCGGAGCAACCUCUCAUGUAACAGUAAAAUGUUACGAUAUGAGACAGAACGACAGCAGGCGAAGGCGUCCCUCUGGUUUUAACUGACGUUCAGGUACGGAAGCGCAGGGAGCAAUCGGG
rnacentral:rRNA from 1 species